rnacentral:rRNA from 1 species
CUAAGGUAGCGAAAUUCCUUGUCGGGUAAGUUCCGACCUGCACGAAUGGCGUAAUGAUGGCCACGCUGUCUCCACCCAAGACUCAGUGAAAUUGAAAUCGCUGUUAAGAUGCAGUGUACCCGCGGCUAGACGGAAAGACCCCGUGAACCUUUACUAUAGCUUCACACUGGACUUUGACCUUAUUUGUGUAGGAUAGGUGGGAGACUUUGAAGCGUUGGCGCUAGCCAGCGUGGAGUCGCCCUUGAAAUACCACCCUGGUAAUGUUGAGGUUCUAACUUAGGUCCCUUAUCGGGAUUGAGGACAGUGUGUGGUGGGUAGUUUGACUGGGGCGGUCUCCUCCCAAAGAGUAACGGAGGAGCACGAAGGUACCCUAAGGGCGGUCGGAAAUCGCCCGAUUAGUGUAAUGGCAUAAGGGUGCUUGACUGCGAGACUGACAAGUCGAGCAGGAGCGAAAGCUGGUCAUAGUGAUCCGGUGGUUCUGAAUGGAAGGGCCAUCGCUCAACGGAUAAAAGGUACUCCGGGGAUAACAGGCUGAUACCGCCCAAGAGUUCACAUCGACGGCGGUGUUUGGCACCUCGAUGUCGGCUCAUCACAUCCUGGGGCUGAAGCCGGUCCCAAGGGUAUGGCUGUUCGCCAUUUAAAGUGGUACGCGAGCUGGGUUUAGAACGUCGUGAGACAGUUCGGUCCCUAUCUGCCGUGGGCGUUGGAAAUUUGAGAAGAGUUGCUCCUAGUACGAGAGGACCGGAGUGAACGAACCUCUGGUGUUCGGGUUGUGUCGCCAGACGCAUUGCCCGGUAGCUAUGUUCGGAAAGGAUAACCGCUGAAAGCAUCUAAGCGGGAAGCCUCCUUCGAGACGAGAUCUCCCUGAGGACUUGAUCCUCCUGAAGUGCCGUUGAAGACGACGACGUUGAUAGGCUGGGUGUGUAAGCGCUGUGAGGCGCUGAGCUAACCAGUACUAAUUGCACGUGAGGCUUGACCAU